UCGAUGAUUGCAGAUGGCCCUUGGAAUCGAGUGCGUUCAUUACUGCAAGCUGAAAACAAUGAAGCAACUCCUGUGUUAAGAUCUCAUGAGCCGCAGCAGGGAUACAUACAGUAGAAGCUCAUUUUCACUUAGAGCUAAAGUGAUAAAUGAUUGAGCGGGAGAAUCCGUAACUUAGUUUAGGUCUAGACGAACGUAAACCGAGAGCCACGUCAGAGAAUUUUACGGCUAGCUUGUUGGAUCAGGUACAGCGCUCUAUGGGGAACGUAAGACUGAUAUAAACGAGCUGGUUUCUGCUUCAGAAUGUAAACAAGUAGGCGAAAGUCGUUUAGAAUUCAGACGUCGCCAUCUGGAGGCUCAUCAAGAAGAUGUUCUAGUGCGAGAUCUAUGCUGGAUUUGCGAAUAGUACAAGCGUGCCGUACAUUAAGCAAAUGCUCCCAGACCAGAAGAAAUACGUAACUACGGUCCGCAACUGUACAACCACGAUAUCUAAUUUUGCCGAAUCAUCUGUGACCAUGUCGAAUUGCUUCCCGCCGGGAUAGAGAUUCAAGGCGUUCACUAACAUAUCUAAGAAAAACCCACGUUGAUCUUGGUACAAUUACCCGAAGCGUACGAGCCAUUGUGCAACAAAUGCUGGAAAAGUAUGAAAUAAACAACAGAAAUCUAGUUCGAAUAAAGAACGAAGUCCACUAUGAUCUUUAACAACGAUAGCUUUUCUGUUGUUUGUAACACGACCAAUAUUGAAGUCCAAGCAGAUCCAAGGAGAAACGCGGUCACCUAAAGCAGGUUAUGAAAUGAAAUGGAGGAAAGUACUUCCGAAGAAUCAGGACAAGUUGUGAGUUAUCUAGAUCAAAAAGUUGAACCGAACACCGUCCUUUCGUUUUUCUCUACACUUAUCAGUCGUGUGAAGCUUGAAAUUAAGUUUACGAACUCCUCAUGGAAGCACAACCGAAUUUGCAGGCCACCAAAGUCGGAGCUAGAAAAACAUCUGCAGCUUCUUAUUGCUGAGCGUAACAAAUGUAAUCAACUUUGCAACGAUAACAAUAGCAUAUCCGAAGAAACCCAAGAGCUGAACACCUUGACGCAACGAGAAGUUCUCGAGCUAUGCGGUACUCUAGUCUUCGACACACUGGGACUUCGUAGUAAAAAGCACAAGUCAGGGCAGUACCACGUUUCGAUAACGCGGGAUACAGAUGCUGCAGAGGAACACUGGUGGCAGGACUUUCGGGUAUUUAGGAGCCGGUUUUCGGCGAGAAUUAUUAAAGUGACAAGUGAACAAGGGUGUGUACGGGCGAUGCCUAGCACAGUGGUGAAAGUGAAUUUAUACAAGUACGAAAGGCGCCUCUUUUCGUCCAGAACUUCUAAUCGGCACAUCGGAACGUUUUACAUGCCAAUUGAAGAUCUUCUACGUGUAGUCGAUGUUGAUCUACAGUCCGAGGAAACCGACCUCGUCCUGAGCAUGACUAGUGUCUGGAUGCCGUCCGUCGGACAUUGACUAUUCGACCGUUGUGCUCUACCUCUUUAACCCAUUUGCAAGUGUAAUUACUCUAAUACCUGCACCUGCUCCAUUUAAGGUGUCGCGAUGUUUACCGCCAGGCGAUAAUAUUGUUUGUGCUAGAGAACCCAAAAAUCGUACUGUCCAAAGAGGUAGUUGCAGGUGAUUUAAGUAGCGUCAGGCAUCAUAGAUUUACAAUCUUCGACCUGGAAGGCCCUAAGAGUUAGAGCGAUCGGCUCAUUUGACAGGCCGGCCAGUCAGCGACUUGGUCUCACAAGAACCCUGAUGACUUACAUCACCCAAGUAUGAUGCCUUCCUAGAGCUUUUGUGUCCCAGUAGGACACAGCACGGACGACCUCUCCGUGUUAGGUCGCCAUAACAGUUCAGCAUGCGAAGCGACCCCAGAAGAGCAACUUGCAGGACGGCAAUGGACUUUGCUUUCGACUACAGGAAUCGGAAGGCGAAGCCCAAUCUUUUUGCAUUGUGUUGUCGAGUGCACCCGAGAGAAGACACUUCUAUCCGACGAGUCCUUAGAACCGUGGAGGCAUUGUGCUCCUGGAGCGUUGCCCGAAGAGCUCUUGGAUUUCUGUAACUGUCAGUGUGUCAGAUUAGCGGGCUCGCUAUCCAGAGUGCAGAAAAUUGAUCUACAUCAAUCAACUUCAACUGAACUCAUCAAUGUAGUGGUGCAUGAACUCAUGAAAUUCAGUCAACCUCUAAAAUUAGACAAAUGGGAGCCGUAAAGUUACCAGCUUCAUUGGCAGCCAUUGAAACGAAAUUGAGAACAGUAUGAAUUGUUCGUUAUAUGCUAGAUAAGUUCUGCAAUUAUAAAGCUUUAUUUGUAAUGACGACAAUGGGCGCUGGGCAAAUAUCCAGUCUUCAAGAUGUUAUGCUUCCUAUUUUCCGAGUUCAUAACGUCAGGAAUCGACUUAUCGUAAUCAGUGCCAAAGGUCGUCCAUUGUGGUUCAAAAUAAACGAAGAAUGCAGAUUGGGUGCUAGAAGACUCGUGCAGAAAUAGGUGAUUAGCAAACAAGGUGGCUUGCGCUAAAAAUAUCCAGUAGCAUAUCCGCAAGAAACCGCUUUGUGCAAUAGCGGUCCGUCGUACA